UUAACUAAAGCCAAAUAUUGAGGCUUUUCAUUGUUAAUGAAAAUAUUGAUUAAAUAAUCUAGUUAAA
rnacentral:tRNA from 1 species